rnacentral:pre_miRNA from 1 species
GCCCUGCUUCCACUCUCUAUUCCUUGCUAUCUGGGUGGUAGUGCUGUCUCAAUGCAAUGCACCUGGGCAAGGAUUCAAAGAGGGUGAGCU